CAUCGGUGACAGGUGGUGGCAUGGUUGUCGUCAGCUCGUGUCGUGAGAUGUUGGUUAAGUCCGCAACGAGCGCAACCCCUAUUGUUAGUUGCCAUCAUUCAGUUGGGCACUCUAGCGAGACUGCCGGUAAUAAACCGGAGGAAGGUGGGGAUGACGUCAAAUCAUCAUGCCCCUUAUGACCUGGGCUACACACGUGCUACAAUGGUUGGUACAACGAGUUGCGAGUCGGUGACGGCGAGCUAAUCUCUUAAAGCCAAUCUCAGUUCGGAUUGUAGGCUGCAACUCGCCUACAUGAAGUCGGAAUCGCUAGUAAUCGCGGAUCAGCACGCCGCGGUGAAUACGUUCCCGGGCCUU
rnacentral:rRNA from 1 species